rnacentral:rRNA from 1 species
CACGAACUGCGCAAACGUUAUUCGGAAUCACUGGGCUUAAAGAGUCCGUAGGCGGCUCGGCAGGUGAGGUGUGAAAUCCCACGGCUCAACCGUGGAAUUGCGCUUCAAACCGCCGGGCUGGAGGGAGAUAGAGGAGAGCGGAACUGAUGGUGGAGCGGUGAAAUGCGUUGAUAUCAUCAGGAACACCGGUGGCGAAAGCGGCUCUCUGGGUCUCUUCUGACGCUGAGGGACGAAAGCUAGGGGAGCGAACGGG